UGCAGUCGCACGGGCAGUAGCAAUAUUGUCAGUGGCGGACGGGUGAGUAACGCGUAGGAAUCUAUCCUUGGAUGGGGGACAACCGUGGGAAACUACGGCUAAUACCGCAUAAUGCCUGAGGGCCAAAGACGUAAGUCGUCUGGGGAGGAGCCUGCGUCUGAUUAGGUAGUUGGUGGGGUAAAGGCCUACCAAGCCUGCGAUCAGUAGCUGGUCUGAGAGGAUGAUCAGCCACAUUGGGACUGAGACACGGCCCAAACUCCUACGGGAGGCAGCAGUGGGGAAUAUUGGACAAUGGGGGCAACCCUGAUCCAGCAAUGCCGCGUGGGUGAAGAAGGUUUUCGGAUUGUAAAGCCCUUUUGGCGGGGACGAUGAUGACGGUACCCGCAGAAUAAGCUCCGGCUAACUUCGUGCCAGCAGCCGCGGUAAUACGAAGGGGGCUAGCGUUGCUCGGAAUGACUGGGCGUAAAGGGCGCGUAGGCGGCUUACAUAGUUAGGCGUGAAAUUCCUGGGCUCAACCUGGGGACUGCGUCUAAUACAUGUAGGCUUGAGUGUGAAAGAGGGUCGUGGAAUUUCCAGUGUAGAGGUGAAAUUCGUAGAUAUUGGAAAGAACACCGGUGGCGAAGGCGGCGAUCUGGUUCAUUACUGACGCUGAGGCGCGAAAGCGUGGGGAGCAAACAGGAUUAGAUACCCUGGUAGUCCACGCUGUAAACGAUGUGUGCUGGAUGUUGGGGUGCUUAGCACUUCAGUGUCGUAGCUAACGCGGUAAGCACACCGCCUGGGGAGUACGGCGCAUGUUGAAACUCAACGGAUUGACGGGGCCGCACAGCGUGA
rnacentral:rRNA from 1 species